ACAUUGAAACACUGGUUUCCGUAUAAUCACCGAAGUUAAGCAGCGUAAAGCCAGGUCAGUACCGAGAUGGGUGACUGCUUGGGAAUGUCAGGUGCUGAAA